GCCUGUGUGGUGUAGUGGUUUGAGUGUUAGACUACAGCUCUGGACACCAGGGCUCAAUUCCCAGCUUGGCCA